GACGAACGCUGCGGUGUGCUUAACACAUGCAAGUCGAACGGAAAGGCCCUGCUUUUGUGGGGUGCUCGAGUGGCGAACGGGUGAGUAACACGUGAGUAACCUGCCCUUGACUUUGGGAUAACUUCAGGAAACUGGGGCUAAUACCGGAUAGGAGCUCCUGCUGCAUGGUGGGGGUUGGAAAGUUUCGGCGGUUGGGGAUGGACUCGCGGCUUAUCAGCUUGUUGGUGGGGUAGUGGCUUACCAAGGCUUUGACGGGUAGCCGGCCUGAGAGGGUGACCGGCCACAUUGGGACUGAGAUACGGCCCAGACUCCUACGGGAGGCAGCAGUGGGGAAUAUUGCACAAUGGGCGGAAGCCUGAUGCAGCAACGCCGCGUGCGGGAUGACGGCCUUCGGGUUGUAAACCGCUUUCGCCUGUGACGAAGCGUGAGUGACGGUAAUGGGUAAAGAAGCACCGGCUAACUACGUG
rnacentral:rRNA from 1 species